UACGUAGGGUGCAAGCGUUGUCCGGAAUUAUUGGGCGUAAAGAGCUCGUAGGCGGUUUGUUGCGUCGGCUGUGAAAACCUGAGGCUCAACCUCAGGCCUGCAGUCGAUACGAGCAGACUAGAGUGUUGCAGGGGAGACUGGAAUUCCUGGUGUAGCGGUGAAAUGCGCAGAUAUCAGGAGGAACACCGGUGGCGAAGGCGGGUCUCUGGGCCGAUACUGACGCUGGAGGAGCGAAA
rnacentral:rRNA from 1 species